rnacentral:lncRNA from 1 species
ACUACUAUACUCAGCUUCCUAGCUUUCUUCUCCAAUUGUCCUUGAAUCAAAAUUCCUCCGAAAAGUUGAAUUAUCACCAAAAAUGUCCUAAGCGAGCAGAUUAAUGAUGUGAAAUAUUCUAACACAAAAAUUAAACCCUAUUAAGAUAGUUGUAGUAUAUGAAAGUAGGGAUCGUUCUAGGCCGGGGAUUAACUAGGGCUGCUAAUCUACACAAAUAUGACUCAAAAACACAAAACUAGACUUAAAAACACUUAACUAGACUCAAAGAACUCAAAACAAACUAAAAAGACUCAAAACAACACAAAACAAUCAAAUAGACUCAAACUAGACACUAGAAGGUGAAUUUGACGAAAAUUGAUUUCAACUUGACUCAAAAUACUUAAAAACACUUAAAAACACAGAUUCUAACUAACUUGACUCAACAAAGUAAAGGGGAUUGGGUUUUUGACGAAUUUAAAGUAAAACUAAACAGAAUUAAAGAC